UUGGAGGGCAAGUCUGGUGCCAGCAGCCGCGGUAAUUCCAGCUCCAAUAGCGUAUAUUAAAGUUGUUGCAGUUAAAAAGCUCGUAGUUGAACUUCGGGAUCAAUGGAUUGGUCAUGCCGUUGGUAUGUACUGGUCAUAUUGGUUCUCACCUUCUAAGGAACCAUAAUGUCAUUCAUUUGAUGUUUUGGGGAAUUAGGACUGUUACCUUGAAAAAAUUAGAGUGUUUAAAGCAGGCUAACGCUUGAAUACAUUAGCAUGGAAUAAUGAAAUAGGACAUCGCAUUCUAUUUUGUUGGUUUCUAGGAUCGAUGUAAUGAUUAAUAGGGAUAGUUGGGGGCAUUAGUAUUCAAUUGUCAGAGGUGAAAUUCUUGGAUUUAUUGAAGACUAACUACUGCGAAAGCAUUUGCCAAGGAUGUUUUCAUUAAUCAAGAACGAAAGUUAGGGGAUCGAAGGCGAUCAGGUACCGUCGUAGUCUUAACCAUAAACUAUGCCGACUAGGGAUCGGAUGAUGUUGAUUUUUUAAUGACUCAUUCGGCACCUUACGGGAAAC
rnacentral:rRNA from 1 species